rnacentral:rRNA from 1 species
GACGAACGCUGGCGGCGUGCCUAAUACAUGCAAGUAGAACGCAGUCGCGAACGGGUGCGUAACGCGUAGGAAACCUGCCUUAUAGCGGGGGAUAACUAUUGGAAACGAUAGCUAAUACCGCAUACUGUGAGAUUGACCUGCGUUGUAUUAGUUAGUUGGUGGGGUAAAGGCUCACCAAGGCGACGAUACAUAGCCGACCUGAGAGGGUGAUCGGCCACACUGGGACUGAGACACGGCCCAGACUCCUACGGGAGUGCGCAGUGUGGAAUUUUGGACAAUGGAGGAAACCCUGAUCCAGCCAUCCCGCGUGUGCGAUGAAGGCCUUCGGAUUGUAAAGCUCUUUUGGCAGGCGGUACCUGCAGAAUAAGCACCGGCUAACUACGUGCCAGCAGCCGCGGUAAUUC